GACGAACGCUGGCGGCGUGCCUAAUACAUGCAAGUCGAGCGAGACUCUUCGGAGUCUAGCGGCGGACGGGUGAGUAACACGUGGGCAACCUGCCUGUAAGACUGGGAUAACACCGGGAAACCGGUGCUAAUACCGGAUAAUCCUUUUCUUCUCAUGAGGAAAAGCUGAAAGUCGGUUUCGGCUGACACUUACAGAUGGGCCCGCGGCGCAUUAGCUAGUUGGUGAGGUAACGGCUCACCAAGGUGACGAUGCGUAGCCGACCUGAGAGGGUGAUCGGCCACACUGGGGCGGAGCCACGGCCCAGACUCCUACGGGAGGCAGCAGUAGGGAAUCUUCCACAAUGGACGAAAGUCGGAUGGAGCAACGCGGCGUGAGCGAUGAAGGCCUUCGGGUCGUAAAGCUCUGUUGUUAGGGAAGAACAAGUACCGGAGUAACUGCCGGUACCUUGACGGUACCUAACCAGAAAGCCACGGCUAACUACGUGCCAGCCGCCGCGGUAACAC
rnacentral:rRNA from 1 species